rnacentral:lncRNA from 1 species
GAAACUUGAAACAAACCCAGACCCAGACAACUCCGCCCUCCCAAGACUGUGAUGACCUGGGAGGGCCUAAGGGAGAAGAGGUGCCACCGGAAACCCAGAGCCCUGCCACCGUCCCCUCCCCUCUACUGCAAGUCCUGGAAGACAGACGUGCCUGCAGGGUGACGUGUCUUCCUCUUUCCCCAGGGCGUAACUCCUUGCUCUAAGACCACAGCGCUGCUGACAUUGAUGGAGCUCCUGUGAACACCGGCUCCUUUGCAGCAAGGGUGUCCUUGGCUCCUCCUUGGGAAGAGAGCACCCAAGGGGCAGUGCCCCGGGUCCUUGAGGAGCUAACACAGCAUGCCUGCUUCAACUUGGGGACAUCACCCUCGCGGUCUCGCUGAUCCAUGCUGAAACACUGAAAAUCCUGUCCUUCUACAUCACUCUCUUCCCAUUCCUCCUUAUUACAGCUGGAGCUACUCGAAGGUAGGUGCCGUGGACUGAAUUGGAAUGGUGUAGGAGGUGGGGCCUCUGGGACUCCAGAGGGCCACCAGGGUGAUGGGAUGGUGGCCCUACAAAGGCCCCACAGACUUUCUACCAUGUGAGGCACCACAUGGAAACCACCUGUCAGAGAAGCCUGAGGACGUUGGAACUGGCGGCUCUCACUCUCAGGGGCGUUUCAGGGAAGGCUGUGCACGUCCGUGCAGCCCUGAGAAGGUACCUGGUGUGGGACCCCGCACGGCCCAGCCCAGGGCCACGCAUGCCCCAGAUCCCCGGGAGCACCGGGCUCUGCCAGACUUCCCUCUCUCCGUCCACCCACUCCCCCAGCCCCCAGUCUUCUCCCUGUUUGGGGCAUCUUUG